rnacentral:tRNA from 3 species
GCCCCCGUAGCUCAAUGGAUAGAGCAUCUCGGUUCUAACGAGGUGGUUGGAGGUUCGAGUCCUCCUGGGGGCACCA